rnacentral:rRNA from 1 species
GAUGAACGCUAGCGACAGGCUUAACACAUGCAAGUCGAGGGGCAGCGGGGGUAGCAAUACCCGCCGGCGACCGGCGCACGGGUGAGUAACGCGUAUGCAACUUACCUAUCAGAGGGGGAUAACCCCGGGCGAAAGUCGGACUAAAUACCGCAAUGAAAGCAGGGAUCCCGCAUGGGAAUAUUUGCUAAAGAUUCAUCGCUGAUAGAUAGGCAUGCGUUCCAUUAGGCAGUUGGCGGGGUAACGCCCACAAACCG